rnacentral:rRNA from 1 species
UACGAAGGGGGCUAGCGUUGCUCGGAAUCACUGGGCGUAAAGGGCGCGUAGGCGGCGUUUUAAGUCGGGGGUGAAAGCCUGUGGCUCAACCACAGAAUGGCCUUCGAUACUGGGACGCUUGAGUAUGGUAGAGGUUGGUGGAACUGCGAGUGUAGAGGUGAAAUUCGUAGAUAUUCGCAAGAACGCCGGUGGCGAAGGCGGCCAACUGGACCAUUACUGACGCUGAGGCGCGAAAGCGUGGGGAGCAAACAGG